UGAUGCAGCACGCCGCGUGAGGGAUGACGGCCUUCGGGUUGUAAACCUCUUUCAGGAGGGAAGAAAUUGACGGUACCUCCAAAAGAAGCCCCGGCUAACUACGUGCCAGCAGCCGCGGUAAUACGUAGGGGGCGAGCGUUGUCCGGAUUUAUUGGGCGUAAAGAGCUCGUAGGCGGCUCAGUAAGUCGGCUGUGAAAGUCCGAGGCUCAACCUCGGAACUGCAGUCGAUACUGCUGUGGCUAGAGUCAGGUAGAGGAGAAUGGAAUUCCCGGUGUAGCGGUGGAAUGCGCAGAUAUCGGGAGGAACACCAGUAGCGAAGGCGGUUCUCUGGGCCUGUACUGACGCUGAGGAGCGAAAGCGUGGGGAGCAAACAGGAUUAGAUACCCUGGUAGUCCACGCCGUAAACGUUGGGUACUAGGUGUGGCGAUCGGACUAACGAUUGCCGUGCCGAAGCUAACGCAUUAAGUACCCCGCCUGGGGAGUACGGCCGCAAGGCUAAAACUCAAG
rnacentral:rRNA from 1 species